UACGUAGGGGGCUAGCGUUGUCCGGAUUUAUUGGGCGUAAAGAGCGUGUAGGCGGCCAGGGAGGUCCGGUGUGAAAACUCGAGGCUUAACCUCGAGAUGUCAUCGGAAACCAUCUGGCUAGAGUCCGGAAGAGGAAAGUGGAAUUCCUGGUGUAGCGGUGAAAUGCGCAGAUAUCAGGAAGAACACCAAUGGCGAAAGCAGCUUUCUGGGACGGUACUGACGCUGAGACGCGAAAGCGUGGGGAGCGAACAGG
rnacentral:rRNA from 1 species